UAGGGAAUCUUCGGCAAUGGGGGGACCCAUGACCCGAGCCAACAGCCGCGUGAGUGAAGAAGGUUUUCGGAUCGUAAAGCUCUGUUGUAAGAGAAGAACGUGUGUGAGAGUGGAAAGUUCACACAGUGACGGUAACUUACCAGAAAGGGACGGCUAACUACGUG
rnacentral:rRNA from 1 species